rnacentral:rRNA from 1 species
AACGAACGCUGGCGGCAUGCCUAACACAUGCGAGUCGAACGCUCAAUCGGGGGCGCGGUGGACGGGUGAGUAUCGCGUGGGAAUAUGUGCUUCUCUAUGGAAUAGCCUCGGGCAACCGAGAGGAUAACCGCAUACGAUCUAUGGGGGAAAGAUUUAUCGGGGAAGUAUUUGCUCGCGUGGGAUUAGGUAGUUGGGGGGGUGUUGGCCUAGCAAGCCGACGAUCUAUAGCUGGUUUGAGAGGAUGAUCAGCCACACUGGGACUGAGACACGGCCCAGACUCCUACGGGAGGCAGCAGUGGGGAAUCUUGGACAAUGGGGGCAAGCCUGAUCGAGCCAUGCCGCGUGAGUGAUGAAGGCCUUAGGGUUGUAAAGCUCUUUCAGCUGGGAAGAUAAUGACGGUACCGGGAGAAGAAGCGCCGGCUAACUCCGUG